rnacentral:lncRNA from 1 species
GUAGAAGCCCCAGAAAUGCAGGGGCAUUGUCUGGUUCCCUGCUAUAUCCUGAUUGCCUCAAAGUACAGGUACUUCUUCAUCUCUCAUUAAUUCAUUCCACCUUGAAGAUCUUUGCUUACACUGACAGAGGGAUUGUGUAAAGAUGAUAAUUGUUGGAGUUUAUGAAUUUCCCAAGAUACUCGCCCAUGGGAAACUUUAAUUUGGAAGAAAACAAUCAUAGGAAACAGCUGGAUCCCAGAAUCCAAUUUUCAGAUGGCAGGGGUUAGUGAGGCACCCAGCCUUCAAGAACAGAAGAAGGAGAGGUCUGGCAACCAGAACCUGGGGUCAGCUUCUGGCGUGAGCUGCAGUUCUAUAUCCACUGAUGAGAAAUGUCUUUCCUGGAGCUGCCCUGCAGCAUGGCUUGCAUGUUGCAUGGACUCUCAACCUGACUCCAGCCCUCCAGGAAGUUCACAUUCUGGCCAUUGGGACAUCAAGGGUAGAAACACAGAGUGGACCACAGUGAUACAGAGAAAAAUGAAUUUGGCUAGUUUCAUCAUAAACCGAAGAAAGCACACCUGA